UUUUAUGGAGAGUUUGAUCCUGGCUCAGGAUGAACGCUGGCGGCGUGCCUAAUACAUGCAAGUCGAGCGAACGGACGAGAAGCUUGCUUCUCUGAUGUUAGCGGCGGACGGGGGAGUAACACGUGGAUAACCUACCUAUAAGACUGGGAUAACUUCGGGAAACCGGAGCUAAUACCGGAUAAUAUUUUGAACCGCAUGGUUCAAAAGU
rnacentral:rRNA from 1 species